ensembl:miRNA mdo-mir-1544c-6 mdo-mir-1544c-2
UGCACCCAGGGAUAUAAUAGCGGUAAACUUCAAAGACCACUUUUCUAUCCCUGGUACUGGU